UGGGGAAUAUUGGACAAUGGGCGAAAGCCUGAUCCAGCCAUGCCGCGUGUGUGAAGAAGGUCUUCGGAUUGUAAAGCACUUUAAGUUGGGAGGAAGGGCAGGAAGCGAAUACCUGGCUGUUUUGACGUUACCGACAGAAUAAGCACCGGCUAACUCUGUGCGAGCAGGCGCGGUAAUACAGAGGGUGCAAGCGUUAAUCGGAAUUACUGGGCGUAAAGCGCGCGUAGGUGGUUCGUUAAGUUGAAUGUGAAAGCCCCGGGCUCAACCUGGGAACUGCAUCCAAAACUGGCGAGCUAGAGUAGGGCAGAGGGUGGUGGAAUUUCCUGUGUAGCGGUGAAAUGCGUAGAUAUAGGAAGGAACACCAGUGGCGAAGGCGACCACCUGGGCUCAUACUGACGCUGAGGUGCGAAAGCGUGGGGAGCAAACAGG
rnacentral:rRNA from 1 species